CAGGACACGCUGGCGGCGUGCCUAAUACAUGCAAGUCGAACGGUCUUUCUAUGGAAGCUUGCUUCCGCUGAGAAGAUAGUGGCGAACGGGUGAGUAACACGUGGGUAACCUGCCCAUAAGAGGGGGAUAACAUCCGGAAACGGGUGCUAAUACCGCAUAGUUUUCUUGAUCGCAUGAUCGGGAAAGGAAAGACGGCCUUUGUGCUGUCGCUUAUGGAUGGACCCGCGGCGUAUUAGUUAGUUGGUGAGGUAACGGCUCACAAAGACGAUGAUACGUAGCCGACCUGAGAGGGUGAUCGGCCACAUUGGGACUGAGACACGGCCCAAACUCCUACGGGAGGCAGCAGUAGGGAAUCUUCCGCAAUGGACGAAAGUCUGACGGAGCAACGCCGCGUGAGUGAAGAAAAGGUUUUCGGAUCGUAAAACUCUGUUGUCAGUAGAAGAACAAGUUGGAGAGUAACUGCUCCUAGCCUUGACGGUAUCUGACCAGAAAGCCACGGCUAACUACGUGCCAGCCGCUGC
rnacentral:rRNA from 1 species